CUCGUAGGCGGCAAUGUAAGUUGGGGGUGAAAUCCCGGAGCUCAACUCCGGAACUGCCUCCAAAACUACAUAGCUCGAGGAUGUGAGAGGAUAGUGGAAUUCCAAGUGUAGAGGUGAAAUUCGUAGAUAUUUGGAAGAACACCAGUGGCGAAGGCGACUGUCUGGCACAUUUCUGACGCUGAGGAGCGAAAGCGUGGGGAGCGAGCA
rnacentral:rRNA from 1 species